CGGGCCACAGCGGGAAGCCAGGCGGCGACGCCGAGCGGAACCCGAAAAGCCGUCUCAGUUCGGAUUGGAGUCUGCAACCCGACUCCAUGAAGCUGGAUUCGCUAGUAAUCGCGCAUCAGCCACGGCGCGGUGAAUACGUUCCCGGGCCUUGUACACACCGCCCGUCAAGCCAUGGGAGCCGGGAGUGCCUGAAGUCAGUGGCCCAACCGCAAGGGGGGAGCUGCCGAAGGCAGGCCCGGUGACUGGGGUGAAGUCGUAACAAGGUAAC
rnacentral:rRNA from 1 species